rnacentral:rRNA from 1 species
AGCAGCCGCGGUAAUUCCAGCUCCAAUAGCGUAUAUUAAAGUUGUUGCAGUUAAAAAGCUCGUAGUUGAAUUUCGAGAUCGGUUUAUUGGUCGUGCUUUUGUACGUACUGGUAUUACCGGUUUCUCCUUUCUGACGAACCUUAAUGCCAUUAAUUUGGUGUUUUGGGAAAUCAGGACUGUUACUUUGAAAAAUUAGAGUGUUUAAAGCAGGCUCACGCUUGAAUACAUUAGCAUGGGAUAACGGAAUAGGACGUUUGAUUCUAUCUUGUUGGUUUCUAGGAUCGACGUAAUGAUUAAUAGGGAUAGUUGGGGGCAUUAGUAUUCAAUUGUCAGAGGUGAAAUUCUUGGAUUUAUUGAAGACUAACUACUGCGAAAGCAUUUGCCAAGGAUGUUUUCAUUAAUCAAGAACGAAAGUUAGGGGAUCGAAGACGAUCAGAUACCGUCGUAGUCUUAACCAUAAACUAUGCCGACUAGGGAUCGGAUGAUGUUAAUUUUUAAUGUACUCAUUCGGCGCCUUACG